rfam:Hordeum vulgare subsp. vulgare, WGS project CAJW01000000 data, contig: morex_contig_137156
AAUGUACUCCCUCCGUCCCAAAUUACUUGUCACAAAAACGAAUAUAAAUGGAUGUAUCUAGAACUAAAAUACAUCUAGAUACAUGCAUGUUUCAGACAAGUAUUUUCGGACGGAGGGAGUAAAUU